CCUACGGGAGGCAGCAGUAGGGAAUAUUGCUCAAUGGGGGAAACCCUGAAGCAGCAACGCCGCGUGGAGGAUGCAGGUUUUCGGAUUGUAAACUCCUUUUGUUAGAGAAGAUAAUGACGGUAUCUAACGAAUAAACACCGGCUAACUCCGUGCCAGCAGCCGCGGUAAUACGGAGGGUGCAAGCGUUACUCGGAAUCACUGGGCGGAAAGAGCGCGUAGGCGGGAUAGCAAGUCAGAUGUGAAAUCCUAUGGCUUAACCAUAGAACUGCAUUUGAAACUGUUAUUCUAGAGUAUGGGAGAGGUAGGUGGAAUGCUUGGGGUAGGGGUAAAAUCCGUAGAGAUCAAGAGGAAUAAUCAUGGCGAAGGCGACCUGCUAGAACAUAACUGACGCUGAUGCGCGAAAGCGUGGGGAGCAAACAGGAUUAGAUACCCGUGUAGUC
rnacentral:rRNA from 1 species